AAUACUCGCGUCAGUCAGUGAUUCAAUCGAUCUCCGUUCCCUAUAAAACAGGCGUCUCAACUUAACAGAUAAAGAAUACGGAGAAGCGAAAAAAUACAAGAUAGAAAUGAUUUUCAAAAAUAGAAAAUUUAUUAAGCAUAUCUAACGGUGCUGUAUCAGAAACGGCUACAAGUAUUCGGCCAAGCUUUUUUCAACAGUUCGAUCUCUCUAUCUAUGAAGGAGGGGCUUAGUCGGUGGGAGUCGAAGGAAUUCAAGGAUUUCUCGAAUCGCCAAGAUUCUCUUACUUACCUGCAGCGUUAUUUAAAAAAAUCUCGAAUAAUAAAAAUACUCGAAUAAUCCGCGCAACGGAAAAGAGGAAAUAAGGAGGAAAAAAAUAGGAAGACGAGGAUAAAAAGAAUAUGUAACGUGGUCGUUGAUAACACUUCGUCCGUCAACAUAUGGAAAUUCACCGAUUUUACGUUUCACGAUUUAUCUUUACAAAAUAUUUUCACGUUCGUUUCGGAUUCGAUAAAAGAUCGUUUCGAUAAAACUGUUGUACCCGCUGUCGCCGUUAAUUUUUCAUCUUUAUCAGUGGGCCGACAAUUCUGAUUUUUUUUUUUUUUUGCAGAAAAAUUCAUUGGUCUUCUGGCGAAUCGAGAUUCGAAUAGAAUACGAAGGCGUGGAUACCGGAAUGAAACGUCAUAGGACGAAAAGGAGGACGGUGAUCGCGUGUCGAGUUGAUGAGGGAGGAAUCGCGAUCGCGCCUUCUAUUCGGCCGGAUCCAACUUCUUUUGCCGGUUAUCGUCCCUUUAAACGGCAAUAACCCAUCGACGAUACGUUUUCGCCACCGUGUAGAUGAACUCAAUGGACCAGGCCAAAAAUGUACACUUGACCGACUGGUCUUGUCGCCCGGACAUUAUAACGGCCGAAUGGUUGCUCACUCAUUUGCAUAUCAUGUCCAGUCAUUAAGGUAGCAAAUUAGGGAGAUCAUAUAUCGAUUGAGAUAUUAAUAAUGGAACCAGUUGAUGUGUACUCUCGUGGAAAAAUAAUGUGCUCGUUUCGUAAAGAAAGAAGAAGGAGCGAAGAAUAAAAGAAAAAAAAAAAA